UUAAUUUGUUCAGUUUGUCGUUGAGGACAGGCCACAAACGCAACACAAGCUUCAUCUUUACCAAAUUUCCGUAAGCAACUUCUGGGCUGAAAAAUGCUCCCAUUUCUCUCCUCUCUGCUUAAUGGUAAGUCAUCACAUCUCUCUUUGCAAUAGAUUGAACAAUUAUUCCCUGAAUUGAUUCCUCUGUUUAUAACUUCAACAAGACCCAUAUUCAUUUCGUAUUUCAAGGAGUCACGGAUAACCCUUGUAGGAAAGCCAUGGAUACUUUACUCAAAACUC
rnacentral:lncRNA from 1 species